rnacentral:rRNA from 1 species
AUUGAACGCUGGCGGCAGGCCUAACACAUGCAAGUCGAACGAGCGGCGGACGGGUGAGUAAUGUAUGGGAAACUGCCCGAUGGAGGGGGAUAACUACUGGAAACGGUAGCUAAUACCGCAUACCAUCGGAUGUGCCCAGAUGGGAUUAGCUAGUAGGUGGGGUAAAGGCUCACCUAGGCAACGAUCCCUAGCUGGUUUGAGAGGAGGACCAGCCACACGGGAACUGAGACACGGUCCAGACUCCUACGGGAGGCAGCAGUGGGGAAUUUUGGACAAUGGGCGAAAGCCUGAUCCAGCCAUUCCGCGUGUAUGAAGAAGGCCUUCGGGUUGUAAAGUACUUUCAGCGGGGAAGCGUUAUCUGCAGAAGAAGCACCGGCUAACUACGUGCCAGCAGCCGCGGUAAUUC